rnacentral:sRNA from 1 species
UGUAGUAUAAAUGUGUACGUGUUAUUG